GGGGCUGUAGCUCAGUGGCAGAGCACUUGCCAAGCAUGCAUGAGGCACUAGGUUUGAUCCUCAGCACCA
rnacentral:tRNA from 1 species